GUGUGGUAGGGAUAUAGUGUUUACUGCACACUGACUGUAACUAGCUAGGUGUGGUAGGGAUAUAGUGUCUUACUGCACACUGACUGUAACUAGCUAGGUAUGGUAGGGAUAUAGUGUUUACUGUACACUGACUGUAACUAGCUAGGUAUGGUAGGGAUAAAGUGUCUUAAUGCACACUGACUGUAACUAGCUAGGUGUGGUAGGGAUAUAGUGUUUACUGUACACUGACUGUAACUAGCUAGGUAUGGUAGGGAUAAAGUGUCUUACUGCACACUGACUGUAACGAGCUAGGUGUGGUAGGGAUAUAGUGUCU